UACAGAGGGUGCGAGCGUUGUCCGGAAUCACUGGGCGUAAAGGGCGCGUAGGUGGCUGCCCAAGUCCAUGGUGAAAGCUCGAUGCUCAACAUCGAGUCGGCCACGGAUACUGGGUUGCUGGAGCACUGUAGGGGCAGAUGGAAUUCCGGGUGUAGCGGUGGAAUGCGUAGAGAUCCGGAAGAACACCGGUGGCGAAGGCGGUCUGCUGGGCAGUUGCUGACACUGAGGCGCGACAGCGUGGGGAGCAAACAGG
rnacentral:rRNA from 1 species